ACCGCGCGAGCUGGUGACGCGUGUCCAGCUGCCGCCCGCGCAAGCCGCGUCUAUCGCGAUUUCGUUGGAGCCGAGCCGACGCCUAUCGCGCCGAGUCCAAGCCGCAGGCCCGCACCUUGAAGUCGAAUCGUCGCUCUCAUCUGCUAUGGCAACGGCCGGCGGCGGCUGCUGCUGUUGCUUCUGAAACGGUGGCGGCGCACUAUAAGGGCCCUGCUGCUCCUCGGAGUUGAGUCCCCCCUACAGCGGGCGACGGCGCGUUGGCGCAAGGCCGCGAGGCGGCAGCCGACAGGCAGGCGGACAACGGAGCGUCAGAGCGGCCGCGCGAGCCGCGAGCAGCAGGCCGGUGGCAGCGUGGCGCCGCGGGAGCACGUGAGCCGGAGCAGCAGUGCAGCAGGAGUCCGGCGGCGGCGCGGGAGCUCGCUGCGCGUGAGCAGGAGCAGCCGAGCAGCAGCAGCGCCGCAGGAGUGAGCAGGUCUACAGGGAGCAGUAGCAGCUGCAGGCCAGCAAGAAGGAAAAGAGAAAUGGAAGGUAGCAGCGCCAAAGGAGGAGCUGGAGACUCUGAUAGUCUGUCCAGUGUCCACUGCAGAUAAGGAACUUGAAGUGCAUAUGGCCAAUAUAGCUAAAUUAGCUUAUAGCCUUGUACUACUCCUGAAGGGCAUUGUUUUGGUUGUCUUUUUCUUCUGAAAUCUGGACCAAAUGGUCUUGCAUGCUGUGAAUAUAUGGUGUUGUAAACAGUUGUCAAUGAGCACAUUGUAAUUUCUACUUAUCAGAUUGGAUACAGUGAUCUCAUAUGAAUACAUAUUUCCAGAUUUCAUCAA